rnacentral:misc_RNA from 1 species
AGCCAAUGCAUGGGCUGCAUGCAUGCGAAGUACGUCACACGCGCAGCUAUCUAUCAGAGUAUCUAUCAGGCGCAUAUGAAGCCACUUGGGAGGUUCUUGCCACAGUAGUUGAUAAUGAGGCUGAGCUUGACAGGGAUGUCGACGGUGAUGCCGAGCACGUUGGCCUUGAUGGCGGUGCAGAGGCAGACGGCGGCCUCCAAGUCGGCGAGGCCGCCGAGGAUGCUGCAGCACGGCUCGGCGGGCGGGUGGCCGACCUCGGCGCUGACGAGGCCCAGCACGUUGGCGCACGCAGCGAACUUAAGCGCGUGCUUGGGGCACUUGCCACCGGUUGAAGGCGACGGCGGCGUCGGGGUUGGCGGCGUUGGCGUCGGGCAGCCGCCGCCGCAGGCGUUGGCCACCGUGAAGAGGACCAGGUUGAGGGCCACGAGGAAGAAGGCCUUGGACGAUGCCAUGGAGGCUGAAAAAAACCCAACAGCACUGCGCAGAGCAGAGGGAUGCUUGCGGACUGGACUGGUGGGCUAGGGAUAGGAGGAGCGCUG